rnacentral:rRNA from 1 species
CAGCAGCCGCGGGAAUACGGAGGGUGCAAGCGUUAUCCGGAUUUAUUGGGUUUAAAGGGUCCGUAGGCGGAUCUGUAAGUCAGUGGUGAAAUCUCACAGCUUAACUGUGAAACUGCCAUUGAUACUGCAGGUCUUGAGUAAAUUUGAAGUGGCUGGAAUAAGUAGUGUAGCGGUGAAAUGCAUAGAUAUUACUUAGAACACCAAUUGCGAAGGCAGGUCACUAAGAUUUAACUGACGCUGAUGGACGAAAGCGUGGGGAGCGAACAGGAUUAGAUACCCCCGUAGUCCCUGUCUCUUAUAA